rnacentral:rRNA from 1 species
GUAAGGAAUAUUGCGCAAUGGACGACAGUCUGACGCAGCGACGCCGCGUGGGGGAUGAAGGUCUUCGGAUUGUAAACCCCUUUCGGGUGGAAAGAUGGUUCAUGACAACAUGAACGGACGGUACCACCAGAAGCAGCCACGGCCAACUUCGUGCCAGCAGCCGCGGUAAUACGAAGGUGGCAAGCGUUGUUCGGAUUCACUGGGCGUACAGGGUGUGUAGGCGGUUCGGUAAGCCCUCUGGGAAAGCUCUGGGCUCAACCCAGAAAGGUCAGGGGGGACUGCCGGGCUAGAGUAUGGGAGAGGAGCGCGGAAUUCCCGGUGUAGCGGUGAAAUGCGUAGAUAUCGGGAGGAAGGCCGGUGGCGAAGGCGGCGCUCUGGAACAUUACUGACGCUGAGACACGAAAGCGUGGGGAGCAAACAGGAUUAGAUACCCUAGUAGUCC